UCACCUAGAUUAAGCUACCUGGGAUUUCCAAACUAGGUCACCCAAACUAGCUCUGAUACACUUGCUCUUCAGAGCACCACAUCCCCACCACAGAGCUCCUUGUACAGGGCUCCCAUUUCCUUCCAACUGCCACACUCCCUCCCGAGAUGCCGCAGGGACACACCGACCGCCGUCCCUGCAGCGUGUCCCAGCCCUGCCCCCGUUUCAGACCCUGCGGAACUCACGGACUGCCCGCCCCGGCACUCCCGGUCACGGCAACGGCCCCCAGGCACCUCAGCGAGGACAGGAGCAGGGCCCCCCCUGCUGGUCCCCCGGCCCCAGCCGCCCUCUGCCCGCCUCCCCCCGGCCGUCGGCAGCGCAGGCCCCGGCCGCAGCCCCUCGGGCAGCCCCUUGGCCUCACCGCUCCGCCAGGGCGGCGGCGACAACAACGGAGGCCGCUGCCAGGCGAUGCCCGCAGCCUCGCCCGGCGUCUCCGGUGCCUGGAACCGGGAGACGCGCAGGGGCGGGGAGAGACAAGGAGACGCGGGCCUCGCGGCGGACUACGAGUCCCAGCAUGUCGCGCGGCUCCCGGCACACCCCGGGGCCCCCAGGGGAGCGCUGUCCCGGCAUCCUCCGCUUGGGCAGCGCCAGCUGGGGGCGGCGGCGGUUCCGCGGCGGUCUCAGUCAGAAUCAAGAUAACAUACUGA
rnacentral:lncRNA from 1 species